GUUUUAAUAGUUUAAAUAAAAUAUUGGUCUUGUAAACCAAAAAUGAGGACUACCUCUUAAAACU
rnacentral:tRNA from 1 species